GGAGAGAUGGCGGAGCCCGGUUGAACGCGCACGACUCGAAAUCGUGUAAGCCCCUAAUAAGGGCUUCGUGGGUUCGAAUCCCACUCUCUCCGCCA
rnacentral:tRNA from 1 species